rnacentral:rRNA from 1 species
UACGUAGGGGGCAAGCGUUGUCCGGAAUCAUUGGGCGUAAAGAGCGUGUAGGCGGCUCGAUAAGUCUGCUGUGAAAGUCCAGGGCUCAACCCUGGAAGGCCGGUGGAAACUGUCGGGCUAGAGUCCGGAAGAGGCGAGUGGAAUUCCCGGUGUAGCGGUGAAAUGCGCAGAUAUCGGGAGGAACACCAAUGGCGAAGGCAGCUCGCUGGGACGGUACUGACGCUGAGACGCGAAAGCGUGGGGAGAAGACAGG